UUGUUUCUUCCUUAUCCCAUCCGAAAUUGGCCACACAAACCAAACCAAACCAAACCAAGUAACAAAGAAACGAAGAAGAAGAAGAAGCAGACCAAACUCACCAACACAAACACCUGAAGAAUCAAAACCCCACCAAAUCUCCUUUUUGAUUACAAAAAAACAAUUUCUUUUCUCUCUUCUAUUUUUCUCUGAAAUUCCCAAUCAAAAUCCAAUAAGUAUUCAUCCAUGGCUUCCGUAUCUGCUCCAACCCCUCACAAGCUCGCAUUCCCAAACACCAAUUUCCCUCUCAAAAGACCAUCUUACCCUUCUCACUCCCAUUCCUUUCUCUCUAGGGUUCCCGAUUCCGCUUCCUGUCGAUGCCACAAUUCCUCUUCUUCUUCCUCUCCUUCUCCUUCCGACUCCGUCCGCUGGCACUGGCGAUGGGACACCGCCUUCUCCGAUGUCAUCAAGACCGCCAUCAAACGCUUCGAUUCCUACCUUAACCGCUCCCACGACGGUCCUGGCGUUGUUUCCGAUUGCGACGCCCCUGACCCGCCGGAGCCGGACGAGCCCGUUUGGGAUUGGGAUCGAUGGCGUAUGCAUUUCCGUGAGGUCGACGACCAAGAGCGUCUUCUCUCGGUUUUGAAGUCACAGUUGGGUCAUGCUGUAAAUAGAGAGGAUUUCAGAGAUGCUGCGAAGCUCAAGGUGGCAAUUGCAGCUGCGGCUACAAACGACACUGUUGGCAGAGUCAUGUCUAAGCUAAAUAGAGCUAUAGAGGAAGAGAGGUACAAGGAUGCUGCCUUUGUAAGAGAUAAUGGGGGUGCUGGAUUGGUUGGAUGGUGGACUGGCAUUUCAAAAAUUAAUAAUGAUUCUCAUGGUAUGAUAAUUCGAAUAACUGCAGAGCAUGGAAGAUAUGUUGCAAGAAGUUACAGUCCAAGGCAGCUUGCUACUGCUGCAGCUGGCGUUCCCUUGUUUGAGAUUUUCCUGACAGUGAGUAAGAAGGGUGAAUACAGACAGCAGGCUGUAUAUCUAAAGAGGGGAGGUGUUGUUCAAGAUUCUUCAGUUUUCUCAUCAGAUUCCGCCAGCACCUUUAAUCCAUUGGAUUCAACUGGAGAUAAAAGCGAUUUACUUGUUGCUGUUAAUGAAGAUACUGGAAGCGAAGAUGAUGAUGACAAGGAUGAUUCUGAUCAAGCUGAAGGAUUUUCUGGCUUUCAGAAUAUCUUGAAAGAUAUGAUCCCUGUUGUGAAGGUCAAGGUUUUCAAAGUCACAGCACCAGGGAAGGUGGACAGGGAUCUGAUAUCUAAAGUGAUUGAGCAGAUAAUUGAGGAAGAUGAUGAAGAUAAGGACAAUGAGACAGAAAGUUUAGAGACAGAGGAGGAAAUCAAGGGUGAAAUUGAUCAAGAAAGUGACAUGAUUGAAUUGGAUGCUGGCACUGGAAUUGGUGAAAGUGAAGAGCGAAAUGAAAUUUCAGUUAAGGUUGUAGUUGAUGGUCUUGUGCAGAAAAUGUCAAAUGCCGUGCCAGCAAAAGAUUUGCUUCGGGUGCCUGCUAAGCUGGAGAAGAAGGGAAGGUCAUCAUUUUCUUUUUCAAUAGAGAAAGAUGUUAAUCAACAAGACUCCCAUGACAAGGAGCAGGCUUCAGUAGAUAAAAAAAGUAGACGUAGAAGUCGUCGUAGCAUUGAUCAUCUUAUGUUAGAUCUCACUAAGUUUAUUGAUAGAGAGAAAAUACCAAUGAAGGUGCUCAAAGAUGUCAGUGAAUUGAUAAAUCUCACUUUUAGUCAGGCUCAGGACCAUCAACCACUGUCUGGAUCAACAACCUUCAAUCGUAUUGAGUUACCAGCUUCCUCAGAUCCUUUAAAUGGUCUAUACAUUGGUGCACAUGGGCUCUACACUUCUGAAGUCAUUCACCUGAAACGAAAAUUUGGUCAAUGGAAGGAGGAUAGUGGAACUAAUGAUCCUUCGAAUCUUGAGUUCUAUGAGUAUGUAGAGGCCUUAAAAAUCACUGGGGAUCCUUAUGUACCUGCUGGCCAGGUAGCAUUUCGCGCAAAGGUUGGGAAAAGGUACCAACUUCCUCAUAAAGGGAUCAUUCCAGAAGAAUUUGGAGUGAUUGCUCGGUAUAAAGGACAAGGGAGACUUGCUGCACCAGGCUUUCGGAAUCCUCGAUGGGUUGAUGGUGAACUUGUUAUACUUGAUGGGAAGUACAUAAAAGGGGGGCCUGUUGUGGGAUUUGUAUAUUGGGCCCCGGAGUCUCAUUUCUUGGUGUUCUUUAAUCGAUUGAGGCUCCAAGAGUAAAUUUUCAUUGUACAUAUUAUUCAAGAUUCUUGAUUUUUCAUUCAGUUUUGCAGGCUCUGAAGAUAUUGCUAAAAUUCCUAAGUUAAGCAUGCAGAAAUUUUGAGAUCUUUGAUGUGUAUUCAAUGCUUACUCAACUGAAUGGUGCACUUCACUGACCAAGCAGAAGUAAUCACUGAGGUUUUGGAACACAAUAUUGGCCUUUCUGUUGCUCCUCGUUUUGGAAAUCAUAUACCCAUCAAUGUAUGUAUUUAAAUUUUUUAUUUGCGUCCCAGCUCUUAGGUCCUUUUUAUACUUUUUGAAGUUGAUACCCCAUAAAUUUUGACUCUUAUUGCUCGUAUCACUUUGAUAGUUCCAAUUGAUAGGUGGUAUAAGAACUUAGGAAUUGCCUGAGGUAGAGAAGUGAUAACUUGAAGCCUGUAAAUUGCCUAUUAUGUAACUUUAAAUUUCAAAGUAAGCCUUAUGAAAUCAAUUACAUUAUUAUCUUGUAUUCCUUUCUGCAUUUUUAAUGGAAGGGCCACGUUUACUAUAA